rnacentral:rRNA from 1 species
GAUGAACGCUGGCGGCGUGCUUAACACAUGCAAGUCGAACGGAAAGGCUCCUGCUUGCAGGGGUACUCGAGUGGCGAACGGGUGAGUAACACGUGGGUGAUCUGCCCUGCACUUCGGGAUAAGCCUGGGAAACUGGGUCUAAUACCGGAUAGGACCACAUUUUGGAUGGUGUGGUGGAAAGUUUUUCGGUGUGGGAUGAGCUCGCGGCCUAUCAGCUUGUUGGUGGGGUAAUGGCCUACCAAGGCGUCGACGGGUAGCCGGCCUGAGAGGGUGUACGGCCCAAUGGGACCGAGGAACGGGCCAGACUCCCUAGGGGGGGAAGAGGUGGGAAUAUUGCACAAUGGGCGCAAGCCUGAUGCAGCGACGCCGCGUGGGGGAUGACGGCCUUCGGGUUGUAAACUCCUUUCGCUAGGGACGAAGCGCAAGUGACGGUACCUGGAGAAGAAGCACCGGCUAACUACGUG